GAAAAAGAACAGUUUAAAUAAGCUGAACCCCUUAUUGAUGAAGAGAUAGAGUUAACACAGGGAUUUACCAAUUGAACUCAGAGAUUUUAACCAGCUUAUCAAAGCUAAUUAAAAUGGGGUUGUGAUAUUGAAAAUAUAGCAAGAGAAGAAGAGGGAAAAAGCUUACGGGAGGUCCUUGAAUACUCAACUGUGUUCUGGGAAAAACGCAAUGAGCUCCAGGACAUAGACAAGAUUAUGGCUCAGAGUGAAAGGGAGAGAUAAGAAUUCAGAGAAUAAUUUGCAUCAGAAAAGCACCUGACAAAAAGAUCAGAUGGUACAGAGCAUCUAGCACCUUUUCUUCAGCUGAGGAUAUCAUGGUACUAGUAUAACAGAGGGAAAAACUGUACUGAGGAAGAGGAUCAUUCUGUACUUUGUGUGCUUGGAUUCAACAAGGAAAAUAUUUAUGAUGAAAUGCAAUAGUGUAAUCACAACUCUCCUCAGUUCAGAU
rnacentral:lncRNA from 1 species